AGUGAACGCUGGCGGUAGGCCUAACACAUGCAAGUCGAACGGCAGCACAGGAGAGCUUGCUCUCUGGGUGGCGAGUGGCGGACGGGUGAGGAAUACAUCGGAAUCUACUCUGUCGUGGGGGAUAACGUAGGGAAACUUACGCUAAUACCGCAUACGACCUACGGGUGAAAGCAGGGGAUCUUCGGACCUUGCGCGAUUGAAUGAGCCGAUGUCGGAUUAGCUAGUUGGCGGGGUAAAGGCCCACCAAGGCGACGAUCCGUAGCUGGUCUGAGAGGAUGAGCAGCCACACGGGACUUGGGACACGGUCCAGACUCCUACGGGAGGCAGCAGUGGGGAAUAUUGGACAAUGGGCGCAAGCCUGAUCCAGCCAUACCGCGUGGGUGAAGAAGGCCUUCGGGUUGUAAAGCCCUUUUGAUGGGAAAGAAAUCCAGCUGGCUAAUACCCGGUUGGGAUGACGGUACCAAAAGAAUAAGCACCGGCUAACUUCGUGCCAGCCGCCGCAGUAA
rnacentral:rRNA from 1 species